rnacentral:rRNA from 1 species
UACAGAGGGGGCAAGCGUUGUCCGGAUUUACUGGGCGUAAAGAGCGUGUAGGCGGCCAAACAGGUCCGUUGUGAAAACUGGAGGCUCAACCUCCAGACGUCGACGGAAACCGUAUGGCUAGAGUCCGGAAGAGGAGAGUGGAAUUCCUGGUGUAGCGGUGAAAUGCGCAGAUAUCAGGAAGAACACCUAUGGCGAAGGCAGCUCUCUGGGACGGUACUGACGCUGAGACGCGAAAGCGUGGGGAGCGAACAGG